CCCCCCCCCCCCCCCCCCCCCCCCCCCCCCCCCCCCCCCCCCCCCCCCCCCCCCCCCCCCCCCCCCCCCCCCCCCCCUGUCCCCAGUGUCCCCAAUCCCCCAAUCCCCCAGUGUCCCCAAUGUCCCCAGUGUCCCCAAUGUCCUCAGUGUCCCCAAUGUCCCCACAGCUGCCGAGGCCCCGCUGGAGACCCAGCUGGGUGAGGAGGGGGAGGGGAGGGGAUGAAGAUGGGGGGUGUGGGGAUGGGAUGGGGUCAAGGUGACGAUGACGAUGACAAUGACGAUGACGAUGAUGAUGAUGAUGAUGAUGGGAUGGGAUGGGAUGAUGGCAGUGAUGAAGAUGACGAUGAUGAUGGGAUGACAAUAACAAUGACGAUGAUGCCGAUGAUGCCGAUGCCAAUGAAGGUGACA
rnacentral:lncRNA from 12 species